UUGACCAUUUGACCUCAAAUCAGGUAGGACUACCCGCUGAACUUAAGCAUAUCAAUAAGCGGAGGAAAAGAAACUAACAAGGAUUCCCCUAGUAACUGCGAGUGAAGCGGGAAAAGCUCAAAUUUAAAAGCUGGCAGUCUUUGA
rnacentral:rRNA from 1 species